rnacentral:rRNA from 1 species
UAGGGAAUCUUCGGCAAUGGGGGGAACCCUGACCGAGCAACGCCGCGUGAGUGAAGAAGGUUUUCGGAUCGUAAAGCUCUUUUGUUAAGGAAGAACGAGUGUGAGAAUGGAAAGUUCAUACUGUGACGGUACUUAACCAGAAAGGGACGGCUAACUACGUGCCAGCAGCCGCGGUAAUACGUAGGUGGCAAGCGUUGUCCGGAUUUAUUGGGCGUAAAGCGAGCGCAGGCGGUCAAUUAAGUCUGAUGUGAAAGCCCCCGGCUCAACCGGGGAGGGUCAUUGGAAACUGGUUGACUUGAGUGCAGAAGAGGAGAGUGGAAUUCCAUGUGUAGCGGUGAAAUGCGUAGAUAUAUGGAGGAACACCAGUGGCGAAGGCGACUCUCUGGUCUGUAACUGACGCUGAGGCUCGAAAGCGUGGGUAGCAAACAGG